CCUCCGGGCGGCAGCAGUGGGGAAUAUUGGACAAUGGGGGAAACCCUGAUCCAGCGACGCCGCGUGAGUGAUGAAGUCUUUCGGUACGUAAAGCUCUAUCAGCAGGAAAGAAAAUGACGGUACCUGACCAAGAAGCCCUGGCUAACUACGUGCCAGCAGCCGCGGUAAUACGUAGGGGGCAAGCGUUAUCCGGAUUUACUGGGCGUAAAGGGAGCGUAGACGGCAGCGCAAGUCAGGGGUGAAAUGCUGGGGCCCAACCCCGGAACUGCACUGGAAACUGUGAGGCUGGAGUGCAGGAGAGGUAAGCGGAAUUCCUGGUGUAGCGGUGAAAUGCGUAGAUAUCAGGAAGAACACCGGGGGCGAAGGCGGCUUACUGGACUGUAACUGACGUUGAGGCUCGAAAGCGUGGGGAGCAAACAGGAUUAGAUACCCCAGUAGUC
rnacentral:rRNA from 1 species